UACGUAGGGUGCAAGCGUUGUCCGGAAUUAUUGGGCGUAAAGAGCUCGUAGGCGGUCUGUCGCGUCGGCUGUGAAAACUCGGGGCUCAACCCCGAGCCUGCAGUCGAUACGGGCAGACUAGAGUGCUGUAGGGGAGACUGGAAUUCCUGGUGGUAGCGGUGAAAUGCGCAGAUAUCGGGAGGAACACCAGUGGCGAAGGCGACUACCUGGCCUGUUCUUGACGCUGAGGCGCGAAAGCUGGGGGAGCAAACGGG
rnacentral:rRNA from 1 species